CAGUAGCCGCGGUAAAACGAAGGGGGCUAGCGUUGUUCGGAAUUACUGGGCGUAAAGCGCACGUAGGCGGAUAUUUAAGUCAGGGGUGAAAUCCCGCAGCUCAACUGCGGAACUGCCUUUGAUACUGGGUAUCUUGAGUAUGGAAGAGGUUAGUGGAAUUGCGAGUGUAGAGGUGAAAUUCGUAGAUAUUCGCAGGAACACCAGUGGCGAAGGCGGCUAACUGGUCCAUAACUGACGCUGAGGUGCGAAAGCGUGGGGAGCAAACAGGAUUAGAUACCCCCGUAGUCCCUGUCUCUUAUAC
rnacentral:rRNA from 1 species